UUUUGGGAGUUUUGGUUCCACAGUUUAGGAAUUAGGGGGCAUAGGGCCAAAAGGGUCCAAAAUUAAACUUUGUUUGAUUUCAUAAAAAAUUGAAUUAUUGGGGUUCUUUGAUAUGCUGAAUCUAAACGUGUAUUUAGAUUCUUAAUUUUUGGUCCUGUUUUCAAAUUGGUCUACAUUAAGGUCCAAAUGGUCCAAAAUUAAACUUUGUUUGAUUUAAACAAAAAUUGAAAUCUUGGGGUUCUUCGAUAUGCUGAAUCUAACCUAUUUAGAUUUUUGAUAUUUGGGCCCGGUUAUCAAAUUGGUCCACAUAAGGUUGAAAGGGUCCAAAAUUGAACUUUAUUUGAUUUCAUCAAAAAUUGAAUUCUUGGGGUUCUUUGAUAUGCCAUGUAUUUAGAUUUUGGAUAUUGGACCAUAAUAGGUAAAUGUCCAAUUUGAAAUUUUUAAGUUUUUAAGUUUAAAUUCUUAGACCACAUUCAUUAUGUGUCAGAAACCUAUGUUGUGUCAACUAUUUAAUCACAAUCCAAUUUCAGAGCUGUAUCAAGCUUGAAUAAUGUGUCCAUACUUGCCCCAAAUGUUCAGGGUUCAACCUCUGCAGGCGUAUAAAGCUGCGCCCUGCAGAGCAUCUGGUUAUUUCAUACUAUAGAUGAUAUGGAUGAUCUCUAACAAACAUUUGGAUAAUCUCCUGAAAUUUAAAUAGUUGUGAUGUCAGUUCUAGAAUGCAGAAGUAUUGUUCAGUUACACAUUUGAAAGACCAUCUUUUCAAUAUGUUGAUUAAAAAACCAGUGUUAAGUCAGGACUUUUUAUUUGCUGUAGUAGUUGUUGUUAUUGUUUAAUUCAUUCCAUUUUAAAAUUUUAAUUUUACAUCAUAAUUUUUUUCUCAGAAAGAAAUAUAGGUGAGAUAUGAAGAUAAGUUACUACAGAUAUAAACUGUUGUGGGGGUUUUAAAAAAUCAAGAGCCCACUGCUAUUUUAGGAAUAUCUUUAUCUUAAAAAGGGAUCGUUUUCUUGUAAUUUGCUUUACAAACACAAUAUAGACUAUUAUUUUCAUCUUAAAAUUGCAUGGAAUUAUUUCAAGUGAAAUUUAUGUAAUAUAUUUAAUAAGCUCUUGUUUUAAAGAAGCUCUUUCUGUUUUUAAAUACAAACUUCUGUUUUCUGUAAAAGUAUUGUACUAUCCAUUGAUAAAUGUUAAGUAUUUGAAAUUGUUAACAAGUCUGUUGUUAAGUUUGAAAAGUCAAAUAUUUGUUUAUUUGUACAUGCAUAGAUUUUGUAAAAUCUGUUCAUUAUUUGUAUCAAUGAUUAAAACUUUUUUUUGUGGAAGCCAAAUAGAUGUUCAAAAAUCAUUGUACAAUCUUGUGUUUCUGUUGAUCAAUUAUUUGUAGUUAGAAGUAGUGAUUGUAAGCUAUUGACUUGUACUUAAUUUUCACAUAACUCCUGUUAAUCAUUUGUUCAUACCAGAAAAGAUAAGGUGCACUAAGAACCCUUUUUGGCAGUAAAAAAGUAAUUUUUCAAAAUUUAAAGCUAAUUUGUAUGUAAAGAUUCUGAAUAAAUUUAGGCAAAGUUUAAAUUGUAAGAUUCUUUUGAAAGAGAACAUGAUUUAAAAUAAUCUUUGAAAUUUUGCAAAAAAUGUGAGGGGAGAAUGUUUUCUUAAAUCAAUCUUGGAUUUUAAAAAUUAAUAUCAAAAGAUUAAAUAAUUCUUUUGAUAAAUAGUAAAUUUCCUUUAUUUAGUGUGUCAAAAAAAUCCCUAAAAUUGGUACCCCCUGACAUUGCAUGUACCAUAGCUGAAAUCCUGGCAUGAAUAAAAUGUAUGAACUGGAUCAUUUGGUGUGUAUUAUACAGGGAAUUACAUCUCUGUAAUCAGUGCUAUAUUUUCAUCUGUGAUAUUAAGCUUGCUAUGCACUUCAGUUCUAUGCUGAGGGUUGUAAGCUUCUGGUGUAUGGUCAUGCAGUUUUAUGAUUCUGUUAUUAUUGUAACCAAAAAGUACUUAAUGAAACCUUCAUAUGACAGUCUUUGUAAUUUAGCUAGAAAGCAAUGUUCUAAUGAAAUAUCAAUGCAUCAUUGAGGCUGAUAUAAAAAGUAUUCUCGUUUGCUGGCUAUCCUAAUGAAUUUUUAAAUAUUUGUUUCAAACAUUUUAAUUUUGGAUUUAUUUGUAAAAAAAAGUUUUAAAUCUAAAUAUAUUAUUCUUAAACUGAUGUUUUAAAACAAUUUAUAUAAACUUUUGCCAAAAAUAUUACAGGGAUCUCUCUUUGUAAAGGCACUUUUUUAAAAUGAAAAAUGAGAGAUCAACUGAGACAGCAAUGGAACAUGACAAAAACAAUCUAAAAGUAAACCCAUGGCCCUCUUAAAAGUUUCUUGAAACAUACUGUAGUUAUGAAUUGGGUGCCUGCAGAAUAUAAAAUUACAUUUAGAAAAAUGAUAAUGCUGAAUAAAAUUGUAUAAAAAAAAACUAAGUGAGAAUUUUUGUCAUUCUAGUUUUAAAGUAAAACAGUCUCAGAAACUGAUUGAAAUAUUUAAUAUGACUGACCUAUUCUGGUCAUUUUGUAUGUACAUUUCUUGAAUUUAUUUAUGUAUUGUUUGUAACUUGUCUCAUUUUAACCAGGAAACAAGUUUCAAUUUGUAUAUUCUAUCUAUGCAAGUAGAUACAUGUAUGUUCUUAAUUUUGUUAUUUCUGUAAAAAAACAAAAACAAAAAAGACCUGACACCAUGUAAAAUUUUCUGUUGCACAUUCUUUUAAAGACUAUUAAAAGUAUUUGUACUUUUUAACAGAAAGAUGAACCAUAAUUUUUCAUCUUAAAGUGUUUAUUUUAGAAAGUUUAGAGACAUAUUUUUGUAUGCUAUGUAGAUAAUGGUGAUUUCAUUGAAUUUCCAUUGUGAUAAAUAACAAUAGUCUCAUAUUUGAAAAAGUUUGUUUAUUUUCACUCGAAAGACUUUCCUCAAUUAUUAUCAGACCCUAAUUUGAGACUUCUUACUAAUAAACUGUGUCAUAUAUCAAAACUUAUUAGUUUGGAUGAAUUAAAACAGCUUCUUGCUUUAAAAUAAUUGCAAAAUCUGCAUCAUUCGUGUCAAAGUGAGGAUCUUCAGUUUUUACAAAAGUGUGCAAUGCACAUAACAGUAUAUAAAACUCACCUAAAAAGAACAGUGAAUUUAGCAAGACAUAAAGCCAGUCUAAGAAACGAAAAAACACAGAAAGAAUUUUGAUCUGCUGGUUCUAUUGAUCAAAAGAAUAUAAGAAUACUUGUGACCACCAUGGAUUUAAUUUGUGCUGCACAUUCGUUGAUUCCAUGUGCAUUCGGACACACAUUGUUUAAUAUUUUAUAUUCAAAUACAGAGAUUAGUUUUAUUAAAUUAUUAUUAAAUGAGGACAUCAUUACAAAUCAAUUAAUGAUGUAGAUAUGUUUGUUUUUCAUUCAUUAGAUUUAGAGUAAUUUUAGUUUUAUCAAUAAUUUCAUAAAGAUCAUCACUUUACGCUUUUUAUUUAGAAAAGGAAUGGGUGGUGGACAGGCAUAAAUGUUUUCGACAGUGUUAUAUAUUUAACACUUUAGAAGUAGAAAUAAAAAUGGCAGUGUGAAAAUCUUUGGAUAAGUACAGGUAUAUAUAUAUUUCAUUCUUAUGUGAAACAGUCGACAUAAUGUAAUUUUUUUAUAUACAAACAAGACGUUCUAAAAUCAUUUUAAAAGUAUUUUAUUAAUUAAUGAUUCUAUUUGAAUAUCAUUUUUUUAUUAUCAUGCCUGAAUUUUUCCAGGUUACUAACCAUGUUUCUGUGAAAAACAGAAUUAUUUUUAUUAUUUGUUACAUUGUAUUUGAUCACUAAUCAUAUAUCCAAUUAUUAUGACCAAAUUUUGACAUGCAUGCAAUCUUUUGAUCAAAAUAUUUAAAUCAUUGAAACAAUUUUUAAAAUGAAUGAUGCAAUUAAUUAUUUAGUCAUUGAAAUGUUUUAUUGAUUAUUUAAGGAAUGACUGUAAUAUUUUUUCUGUCUAUGAAGAAAUAACAUUAAAAAUUUGGUGCACACUGAAUAACGCGGGUAGCGGGUUAUUUAACAGUGUGCACCACAUUUUUUAUGUUAUUUCGAAUAGACAGAAAAAAUAUUACAGUCAUUUCUUAUAAUUUAAUUCUAAAUUCCAUUUUAAACUGUAGAAAACCAUGAAAAAACGUUGAUGACGUCACGGUCACAAGACUAAAUUAUGUCUAUGGGCUCAUAACAAAAUAACGUGAGCCAAUCAGAAGACGCAUUACAUCCAAAAUUAAUUAUUGUAAAUUAUAGUAAAAACAAUAACAAAAAGUACAUUAAUGAUGCAAGAUAAUUUCUUUGAACAAAUUCAUUUUGAAUUUCUAUAAAUUAGUUAUGUUUUUAAUAUAAAAAGUAUUUAAAUGGUGUUACACUUUUCAAAACAGUACAAAUUAUAAUAUCAUUUUCAGAACCUGGAUUGGGAAUUUGCUUUUUUAUGUCAUAAAACAAAAAUAUACCAUUUGAGAAAAAAAAAUCUAAUAUCAAUCAAUUACCUUGUAGUGUUACCUAGAAUUCAAGAGUUAUAAGAUUUGCAAAUUUCAUAUUUUCAUACUGUGAAAUCAUUUCUUUUUGUGGGUAUCAAUUUUCGCAGAUUCAGGAAAACUUGCCUUUUCGUUGAUAUUUGAAUUCUUGGUUUUGCUAAUCUCUGCAUACAAAGCCUAUAGAAAAUUUGCAAUUCAUUGAAUAUUUGAAUUUUUUGUUCAACUGUACCCAUGAAAGACACGGAAAAUUGGUAUCCAUAAAUAAUAAUGAAUUCACUGUAGUCUAAAAACAUACUUUGAUGUGAGAAACAAAAAACCAUUUGAUAUGGGUAUACAUUUAUUAACUAAUCAGAUAUUUGAUCACUAUCUACAUUUUUUAUUGUUUGUUGUUAUGAUGUAUUAUAUUAUUGAAGAUUAUUUAUUUUUCACAAAGCAAUGAGUGGAAGCUUCACAGUAAAUAAAAGUUUUUAAAAUAUUUGAUACAUUUAUGGUUUUUUUUUUGCCAACAUGUACAUUGUUAAUUAUGGUCCUUUGAUUGUGCCAACUUCUGAGAUCUACUAAUGGAUUUAAAGAAGACAAACUAUAAAGAAA
rnacentral:lncRNA from 1 species